rnacentral:rRNA from 1 species
AUCCUACGGGGGGCAGCAGUAGGGAAUUUUCGUCAAUGGGCGCAAGCCUGAACGAGCAAUGCCGCGUGAACGAGGAAGGUCUUCGGAUCGUAAAGUUCUGUUGAAGGGGAAAAAGAGCGGAGAGAGGAAAUGAACUCCGAUUGAUAUUACCCUUCGAGGAAGUCACGGCUAACUACGUGCCAGCAGCCGCGGUAAUACGUAGGUGGCGAGCGUUAUCCGGAAUGAUUGGGCGUAAAGGGUGCGUAGGCGGCCUGCUAAGUCUGGAGUGACAGGUACUGGCUCAACCGGUAACGGAUCUGGCAACU